rnacentral:rRNA from 1 species
GUGGCAGCCGCCGCGGUAAUACGGAGGGUGCGAGCGUUAAUCGGAAUUACUGGGCGUAAAGGGCGCGUAGGCGGUCGCGCAAGUCGGGUGUGAAAGCCCCGGGCUCAACCUGGGAAUUGCAUUCGAUACUGCGUAACUAGAGUCUGGUAGAGGGAAGCGGAAUUCCGCAUGUAGCGGUGAAAUGCGUAGAUAUGCGGAGGAACACCAGUGGCGAAGGCGGUUUCCUGGACCAAGACUGACGCUGAGGCGCGAAAGCGUGGGGAGCAAACAGGAUUAGAUACCCUGGUAGUCCACGCCCUAAACGAUGAGGACUAGACGUUGGGGGAUAAAACCCUUUAGUGUCGCAGCUAACGCGUGAAGUCCUCGCCUGGGGAGUACGGCCGCAAGGUUGAAACUCAAAUGAAUUGACGG